AUGGAUCCUUGUGCCAUGGCAUCACUGGAUCCUAGGGAUCCUUGUGCCAUGGCAUUACCAGAUCCUAGGGAUCCUCGUGUCACUGCACCACCAGAUCCUGGGGAUCCCUGUGCCACAGCAUCACCAGAUCCCACGCAUCCUCAUGCUACAGCAUCACCCGAUCCUAGGGAUCCCCAUGCCACGGCACCACCAGAUCCUAGGGAUCCCCGUGCCACAGCAUCACCAGAUCCUAGGGAUCCCCAUGCCACGGCACCACCAGAUCCUAGGGAUCCUUGUGCCAUGGCAUCACCAGAUCCUAGGGAUCCCCAUGCCACAGCAUCACCAGAUCCUAGGGAUCCCUGUGCCACAGCAUCACCAGAUCCCACACAUCCCCAUGCCACAGCAUCACCAGAUCCCACGCAUCCCCAUGCCACGGCACCACCAGAUCCUGGGGAUCCCCGUGCCACCGCUCCACUGGAUUUCAGGGAUCCCGAUGACGAAACCCCCCUGGAUCCCACCCGCCCUCACCCCAUCACCCCCCAACGUCCGGAUCCCGCCCCCCCCCCUCCCCGCCGCCUGUUAUGGGGACUCUAUGGGGUGCUAUGGGGAGUUAUGGGGUGCUAUGGGGUCUCUAUGGGGUGCUAUGGAGUGUUAUGGGGUGCUAUGGGGUGUUAUGGGGUGCUAUGGGGACUGUGGGGUUUUAUGGGGUGUUAUGGGGACUCUAUGGGGUGCUAUGGGGAGUUAUGGGGUGCUAUGGGGUCUCUAUGGGGUGCUAUGGAGUGUUAUGGGGUGCUAUGGGGUGUUAUGGGGUGCUAUGGGGACUGUGGGGUUUUAUGGGGUGUUAUGGGGACUCUAUGGGGUGCUAUGGGGUUUUAUGGUGUGCUAUGGGGUGCUAUGGGGGGUUAUGGGGUGCUACGGGGUGCCAUGAGGUCUCUAUGGGGUGCUAUGGGACGCUAUGAGGUGUUAUGGGGUGCUUUGGGGUCUCUAUGGGGUGCUAUGGGGACUGUGGGGUUUUAUGGGGUGCUAUGGGGUUUUAUGGCAUGCUAUAGGGUGCCAUGGGGUCUUUAUGGGGUGCCAUGGGGACACUGUGGGGCGUUAUGGGGACACUAUGGGGUUUUAUGGGGUGUUUUGGGAACUGAUCUCUUCCUGGAGAUCCCUCCUCAUGCAGCGAGCCCAUAA
rnacentral:lncRNA from 1 species